UACGUAGGGUGCAAGCGUUGUCCGGAAUUAUUGGGCGUAAGGAGCACGUAGGCGGUUUGUCGCGUCGGCCGUGAAAACUUGGGGCUUAACUCCAAGCUUGCGGUCGAUACGGGCAGACUUGAGUUCGGCAGGGGAGACUGGAAUUCCUGGUGUAGCGGUGAAAUGCGCAGAUAUCAGGAGGAACACCGGUGGCGAAGGCGGGUCUCUGGGCCGACACUGACGCUGAGGAGCGAAAGCGUGGGGAGCGAACAGG
rnacentral:rRNA from 1 species